rnacentral:pre_miRNA from 1 species
AACGUACUCCCUCCGUUCGGAAUUACUCGUCCAAGAAAUGAAUGUAUCUAGAUGUAUUUUAGUUGUAGAUACAUCCAUUUUUGUGACAAGUAAUUCCGAACGGAGGGAGUAACAU